GUUUUUUUCGCCCGAGAGACUGAUUUUGCGGAGGCAGUGGCGGCCGUGGGCGGUGAGAUCUCUCAGGUAGUCGUAGUCGCUUUGAGAGCCGCCUUGGGGACCAGCCCCUGCCCCGCCUUCUGUCACUGGGGUAGCGGGAAGUGCUGGCUUCAGAGACCUUUAGUUGCACUGCACGAGGAUCUCAGGAGGAAAUGCAGGGCGAGGGAAGCGAAUGAAUCAAAGCACGAGCGGAAGCAGUAUCACUUCAGGCGUUAGAACACAGCAAGUGAAGAAAACAGACAAGUCUCCUGGCACGCGUAUCCAGCCACAGCUCACGAUGUCUUCUGGCCUCAGAGUAUUUAGAGCUGGUGUUGCGUUGGUUUUGAUGUGCAAUUUUUACACGUCAACUGAAGACUCCCUCCCAGAACUGAGUCCUCAGCAGUAUUUCAGCUCACUGCAGCCAGGAAAGGCCUCAUUAGCUUAUUUUUGCCAAGAUGGUUCUCUAAGUAACUCUCUGUUUCUCGAAGAACUGAAAGAAGCCAUCAGGCCCCUCCAGGACUAUGGGAUUUCAGUCGCAAAGGUUACUUGUGUCAAAGAAGAAGCGUCAAGGUACUGUGGGGAAGAAGAGAGUUUGAUGAAAGCGUAU
rnacentral:lncRNA from 1 species